rnacentral:tRNA from 1 species
CCCCAGCUGGCUCAGUUGGAAAAGCAUGUGACUCUUGAUCUCGUGGGCAUGGGUUCAAGCCCUAUGCUGGGUG